UUGCGGUUAAAAAGCUCGUAGUUGGAUUUCUGUCCGAGGCAGCCGGUCCGCACCUGGUGCGUGUAUCAGGUUUGACUAGGGCAUCCUCUUGGGGAACGUUUCUGUGCUUCAUUGCAUGGGACGGAAUUCAAGACUUUUACUUUGAGGAAAUUAGAGUGUUCACGGCAAGCUAUCGCUUUGAAUACAUUAGCAUGGAAUAAUAAUAUAGGGCGUAAGUUCUAUUUUGUUGGUUUCUAGGACAUACGCAAUGAUUAAUAGGGAUAAUUGGGGGCAUUCGUAUUAACGCGUCAGAGGUGGAAUUCUUAGAUUGCGUUACGACGAACUACUGCGAAAGCAUUUGCCAAGGAUGUUUUCAUUGAUCAAGAACGAAAGUAUGGGGAUCGAAGACGAUUAGAUACCGUCGUA
rnacentral:rRNA from 1 species